GAUGAACGCUGGCGGCGUGCCUAAUACAUGCAAGUCGAGCGAACAUACGAGGCUCUUGCUUCUCUGACGUUACCGGCGGACGGGUGAGUCAUACGUGGCUUACCUAUCUCUAAGACUUGGAUAACUUCGGGAAACCUGAGCUCAUACCGGAUAAUAUAUUGAACCUCAUGGUUCAAUAGUGUAAGACGGUUUUGCUGUUACUCAUACAUGGAUCCGCGCCGCAUUAGCUAGUUGGUAAGGUAACGGCUUACCAAGGCAACGAUGCGUAGCCGAGCUGAGAGGGUGAUCGGCCACACUGGAACUGAGACACGGUCCAGACUCCUACGGGAGGCAGCAGUAGGGAAUCUUACGCAAUGGGAGAAAGCUUGACGGAGCAAAGCCGCGUGAGUGAUGAAGGUCUUCGGAUCGUAAAACUCUGUUAUUAGGGAAGAACAAAUGUGUAAGUAACUAUGCACGUCUUGACGGUACCUAAACAGAAAGCCACGGCUAACUACGUG
rnacentral:rRNA from 1 species